rnacentral:rRNA from 1 species
CUACGGGGGGCAGCAGUAGGGAAUAUUGCGCAAUGGGCGAAAGCCUGACGCAGCCAUGCCGCGUGAGUGAUGAAGGCCUUCGGGUCGUAAAGCUCUUUUCUGAGGGAAGAACAUCCAGAGGAGGAAAUGUCUCUGGUCUGACGGUACCUCAGGAAUAAGGAACGGCUAACUCCGUGCCAGCAGCCGCGGUAAUACGGAGGUUCCAAGCGUUGUUCGGAAUUACUGGGCGUAAAGGGAGCGCAGGCGGACAGGUCAGUGGAAAGUGGAAUCCCGGGGCUUAACCUCGGACGUGCUUUCCAUACUGCCUGACUUGAGUUCGUGAGAGGAAGGCGGAAUUCAGGGUGUAGCGGUGAAAUGCUUAGAUAUCCUGAGGAACACCAGUGGCGAAAGCGGCCUUCUGGCACGAAACUGACGCUGAGGCUCGAAAGCGUGGGUAGCGAACGGGAUUAGAUACCCUAGUAGUC